GAUACACAGAGCAGGCCCUAAUCAGGAUGGAAAGGAUUUGAUGACUGCAUCUGUACUUUUCACAAAGAUUCAGAGAGGAACAGAGAAUACUAACAAAUUAGGACCACCGUUUGAUAAGCCAGAUGUUAUUUCCUGUAAGAUUGUGACAUGUCUAUACUACAGAUGACCCCUCCUUUGUGUUCUGAAGAGGGCAAUGGAUUUCACUGUGGACAACCUUAUUUUCCUUCAUUG